CAACUUGUUUGUAUACUGUUGAGAACAUAUGAACAAAAGGAAACGUGCACAUCUCAUCAACGUGUCCCACAACGUGGAUAUAAGAUAUUUGCAACAGCCAGAUUAUCUUAAUUGUGAUAAUAUGCUUGCUUGGAAACAAUAGUUCCCCAAAAUACAGCAUUCAUGUGCAUAAGGAUUCAAAAACGUCAAAAAAUUUUUCCAGCGGUAAAAAAUUCUACACAGCUAACAGCAAGCGAUUUGUACUGUCUUAGAUGAGUAUACUACCAAAACAUGUCAGAUCCUAACGUUUGCAAAGUUGUGUGCAAGUUAUAUGGCAACUCUGAUCAACAAAUCCCGUUGGUGUUGGUGCAAUAUCUUUUUAGCGGCCGAGAACACGAGAUAACUCGCAUAUUGCCUCAUGGAAAUGCCAAAAAACGGUCGUCGUACACACGUCUUUUUCCAAGCACAAAGAGCAAGCUAAAGAAUUCAAUCCUAGGCAAAGAAGAAACCCGCAAGAGAUUCUUGACGAGGUUUAUAUUGCAGCUGGUGAUGUUGCUAUGGCAAGAUCUGCCAGUGAACUGCCAGGGGUCCCAACGACAUUUACAACGCAAUGCGUAAUGCAAGACAAGAGAAGGGCAUUGAAAUUAGUUCAAACGAGCGUUCUAAGAAAACAGAAAAAAUUGUUGGCGGUAAAAACGAAACGCUAAACAACGCUUGGACCCUUUUAGAACGUGCAAAGAGAGAGGAAGAUGAGUGAAAAGAUUCAAUUUUUAUAAGAGAAUGCUCCAUACAACCUGAUCUUUUUAUCGUUCUUGCCAAUAAUCAACAGCUAGAGGAGCUCGUACAAUUUGCACCCACCCUAGAAAAUUUAGCGUGUUUGGAAUCGGUCCAACAUUCAAUAUUUUUGAUAGAAACAUUGGUUUGACAGUAACAAAAUACAGGAAUCUUAAAUUAAUAAACACUGUUGGGCCACUACUCAUGCAUCAGAGAAAAGUCUGGAAAACAGCGUGAUACAAGAAUGAUAUGUGUACUAUACCAAAAUAAUACGUGUAUGAUACAAGAAUAAUACAUGAAUAUUACAAGAAUGAUACAUCUAUGACACAAGAUUGAUACGUAAAUAAUACAAGAAUGAUAAAACAAUGAUAUAUGAAUGAUUCGUGAAUGAUGUAAGAAUAUUACGCUAAUGACACAAAAAUGAUGGCUACAAUUGUUUUCGCAUGUAUUUAGAUUGGCUACUAUUUUUUUCAAUUGUUUUCACAUAAAUUCAGCCAAUCUGCGAUGCGUUGAGCAUUCAAAAAUAUGACAAAUAUUCAGAUAAGUGACUAAAGCAUAGGUUUUGCAAAAUAUUUGCCAAAACCCUAAAAACAUUCGCAUUUUUCAAAUGCAUAGAAAUACAUUUUAACGUUGAAAAAACUGCAAAAAUACAGUAAAAUUAUUCGUAAUUUAUGAGAUGUAUUUGUUUUUCGUGUUUUGCCAUGUACUUAUGAGAUAUUUGCAGUUUUUUGAAAAAUUUUGUUUUAACGGUCAGUAA